UAUCGAGUGCCACGUCAUCGAUAC
rnacentral:siRNA from 1 species